rnacentral:rRNA from 1 species
AUUGAACGCUGGCGGCAGGCUUAACACAUGCAAGUCGAGCGAGCGGCGGACGGGUGAGUAAUGUCUGGGAAACUGCCUGAUGGAGCGGGAUAACUACUGGAAACGGUAGCUAAUACCGCAUAACAUCAGAUUUGCCCAGAUGGGAUUAGCUGGUAGGUGGGGUAAUGGCUCACCUAGGCGACGAUCCCGAGCUGGUCUGAGAGGAUGACCAGCCACACUGGAACUGAGACACGGUCCAGACUCAUACGGGAUGCAGCAGUGGGGAAGAUUGCACAAUGGGCGCAAGCCUGAUGCAGACAUGCCGCGUGUGUGAAGAAGGCCUUCGGGUUGUAAAGCACUUUCAGCGAGGAGGCGGUACUCGCAGAAGAAGCACCGGCUAACUCCGUGCCAGCAGCCGCGGUAAUUC